UAGGGAAUCUUCGGCAAUGGGGGGAACCCUGACCGAGCAACGCCGCGUGAGUGAAGAAGGUUUUCGGAUCGUAAAGCUCUGUUGUUAAGGAAGAACGAGUGUGAGAAUGGAAAGUUCAUGCUGUGACGGUACUUAACCAGAAAGGGACGGCUAACUACGUGCCAGCAGCCGCGGUAAUACGUAGGUCCCGAGCGUUGUCCGGAUUUAUUGGGCGUAAAGCGAGCGCAGGCGGUUAGAAAAGUCUGAAGUGAAAGGCAGUGGCUCAACCAUUGUAGGCUUUGGAAACUGUUUAACUUGAGUGCAGAAGGGGAGGGUGGAAUUCCGUGUGUAGCGGUGAAAUGCGUAGAUAUAUGGAGGAACACCGGUGGCGAAAGCGGCUCUCUGGUCUGUAACUGACGCGGAGGCUCGAAAGCGUGGGGAGCGAACAGG
rnacentral:rRNA from 1 species